GAUGUAUUUAUUAGAUACAAAACCAAUGCCCUAUGGGCUCUCUGGUGAUUCAUGAUAACUUCUCGAAUCGCACGGCCUCGCGCCGGCGAUGGUUCAUUCAAAUUUCUUCCCUAUCAACUUUCGAUGUUUGGGUAGUGGCCAAACAUGGUUGCAACGGGUAACGGAGGGUUAGGGCUCGACCCCGGAGAAGGAGCCUGAGAAACGGCUACUACAUCCAAGGAAGGCAGCAGGCGCGCAAAUUACCCAAUCCCGACACGGGGAGGUAGUGACAAUAAAUACUGAUACAGGGCUCUUUCGGGUCUUGUAAUUGGAAUGAGUACAAUUUAAAUCCCUUAACGAGGAACAAUUGGAGGGCAAGUCUGGUGCCAGCAGCCGCGGUAAUUCCAGCUCCAAUAGCGUAUAUUAAAGUUGUUGUGGUUAAAAAGCUCGUAGUUGAACCUUGGGCCUGGCUGGCCGGUCCGCCUCACCGCGUGUACUGGUCCGGCCGGGCCUUUCCCUCUGUGGAACCCCAUGCCCUUCACUGGGCGUGGCGGGGAAACAGGACUUUUACUUUGAAAAAAUUAGAGUGCUCCAGGCAGGCCUAUGCUCGAAUACAUUAGCAUGGAAUAAUGAAAUAGGACGUGCGGUUCUAUUUUGUUGGUUUCUAGGACCGCCGUAAUGAUUAAUAGGGACAGUCGGGGGCAUCAGUAUUCAAUUGUCAGAGGUGAAAUUCUUGGAUUUAUUGAAGACUAACUACUGCGAAAGCAUUUGCCAAGGAUGUUUUCAUUAAUCAGGAACGAAAGUUAGGGGAUCGAAGACGAUCAGAUACCGUCGUAGUCUUAACCAUAAACUAUGCCGACUAGGGAUCGGACGAUGUUAUUUUUUGACUCGUUCGGCACCUUACGAGAAAUCAAAGUGCU
rnacentral:rRNA from 1 species